AUUGAACGCUGGCGGCAGGCCUAACACAUGCAAGUCGAGCGAGCUGCGGACGGGUGCGUAAUGCCUAGGAAUCUGCCUGGUAGUGGGGUAUAACUACUGGAAACGGUAGCUAAUACCGCAUACCAUCGGAUGUGCCCCGAUGGGAUUAGCUAGUAGGUGGGGUAAAGGCUCACCUAGGCGACGAUCCCUAGCUGGUCUGAGAGGCUGACCAGCCACACUGGAACUGAGACACGGUCCAGACUCCUACGGGAGGCAGCAGUGGGGAAUAUUGCACAAUGGGCGCAAGCCUGAUGCAGCCAUGCCGCGUGUAUGAAGAAGGCCUUCGGGUUGUAAAGUACUGUCAGUGGGGAGGCGGUACCCGCAGAAGAAGCACCGGCUAACUCCGUGCCAGCAGCCGCGGUAAUAC
rnacentral:rRNA from 1 species